UAAAGCUAAGUGUCUCUCUACAUUGUUAGUGCAGUUGCAGUAAACCUCAAGCUAAUACUAGAUGAAAAGGACUCGGGCUGAUGCAUGUUUGUGUGUGUGUGUGUUUACAGAGUAUUCCAGAGUUUGGUGAGGACUAUGAGGUCUGCAUUGAUGACACCUACACUGAGUGAAGAACAACUUCUGUCACCAGUGGCUUUGAUGAAGAUCAUAAUUCAGAUGGCAUCAACUCUAUGAGGAGCACACAUGGGCUAGGACCAGCCCUGGAUGAGGACUACCCUGGAGGACUAGCGUGGAUGAUGUCUAAAGAACCUUAGGGAAAAGAAGGCACAUAAAAAAGGGGACAAAAAACUCUAAGCAUCGGCCAUACUUGUAUAAACAUGACCCAGAGUCACUCCCCUCCCCCACCUCGGACAAUCAGACCACCUCUCAUUGUUCCUACUGCCCAAGUACUGUCCAGUCAUCAGAUGUGUGAAACCCACUAUCAGGACUGUUAAAAUUUGGCUGGAUAGAGCUGACGCUUCUCUCUAGCAGCAGUUCUUACACACAGACUGGAGUGAAUUCGCUUCACAGGCCACUACUGAUUCCGUCACCAACAUCAACACCAAAGCUGACCUUGAUCACAUCAAUAGCUGUGUGGAUCGGGUGACUAGACUAAAAAACAUCAAAGUGUUCCCCAAUCAGAAGCCAUGGAUGAACGAGGAGGUCCGUCUCCUGCUCAAAGCACGCAAUACCGCCUUCAGGUCUGGAGACCGGGUUGCCUACAGCGUCGCCAGAGCCGGUCUGAGGAGGAGAAUCUGCAAAGCCAAACAUGCUUACAAACAGCAGAUUGAGGAGCACUUCAAAUCUGCUGACCCCCGACACAUUUGGCAAGGAAUACAGGCUAUCACUGACUGCAACCAGUUCUGCCUCACUCCCCAACAAGCUCAACCUCUUCUACGCUCGUUUUGAAAAGAGGAACAUGGAGCCCUUGCUCAAAACAGAGCCAUUACCAGGUGAGCAGCCACUUACACUCUCCACCUCUGAAGUGUGCGUC